GGGCCAGCCGAGUUAAGGUUGAGCCUUUCUAACUGCCGCCAUUGGGCCUCGGCUGUUUUUUGAGUUGCUGCCGCCGACAUGCCGAAGCUGAGCAAGGAAGCUAAGCAGCGACUGCAGCACCUCUUCAAAGGUGGUCAGCUGGCCAUCCGCUGGGGCUUCAUCCCUGUCGUGCUUUACUUAGGUUUUAAGAGAGGUGCAGAUCCUGGAAUGCCUGAACCAACUCUUUUGAGUCUACUUUGGGGUUGAAGGAAUGAAUCAAUGUAUUUUGAGAGUAUGCUUUUUGAAGAUGGAUACAUUCUGGAGACUAGAAGAACUCUUAUGCAAUGUUACUGUCCAGCGAUUUAUCUGAUAACAUGCCAUACAAAUAUGUUUUGCAACGGAAAAAAAAAACAUUAGAGAUUAUGUGCUCUUGCAAAUAAAUAGUCAGCACUGAUUGUGUGAGGAGAUGAAAAACCCAAUCACCACAUCACCUAUUUUGAAUUUAAAAUUGGUUGCUGUAUAUCCUUAUUGAAAAUGCUUCUGCUAUUUUGCCUAUACUACAAAUGUCAAGAGCUUGAAAAACUAAUGGUAUGUUUUGAAGAACAUUAAGCUACUUCUUGUAUAUCCGGGACAACUGUUUUGUGCUCAAAAUGGGGCAUUUCUGGCUGGAACUAUUCCAGUUGUGGGACACUAGAGAAAAGAGUACAAUGGAUGUACAAAUCUUCAUUUGCACAAUGAUAAUCUGCCUCACAAAUAUAUGUGUAGGCUACAUUGUUCACAAAUUGUAAUUUGCCAUUGCGUAGUAAUGUUAUAUCUGUAGCAGUGUGAUGAGUAUCUUCCUUUUCACAAAUACAUGGAAAUAAUUUCAAUUUACUGGAACUAUUGUAGUGUACAGUCAACUGUCAAAAAUAUUUUUUCUCUCAGCCACUGAAAUCCUGUCUGAAAAAGACUAAAGUGGUCUAUAAGGAAUUUGCUUAAUCCACAAGCAAAUACUACCCAAAAAAGAAUGGGCAUCUGAUAACUGAGCAAUUUACGAAAAACAACCAUGCCUUUAAAAAUGAAAGUGAAAACAUACACCCUGGAACAAAGUGAACAAUGCAGAAGGUAACUUCCUCUUGAAUUCCUCUCCCAGAAAAUUCCCAGAAUUGUCUCUGCUUACUUGAAUGUUAAAACUAGUACUUAUUCAAUUUUAUUUUUAAUUAGGAAAAAAAGGACACACACCUUUCUUAUAUGGCCAAAUUGGACAAUCUUGUAAUCACUGCAUUGAUGUGGAUCUAAUGACCCAGCAAAUGAAAAAGACUGCAUAAUUUUUGCUUCCAGAAAGGACUGUUUGUUUUGUGCAGCAAAAAUAGCAAAGGAUUUUGAAUCACUUGAAAAACUAACCAAACUUGUUUAUAUCAUAUUCUACUGGCUCAGAUCCAUAUUUCUAAGGAAGUAAUCCAUGAAAUCUUAUUGAACAAUAAACUAAUUCUGUUUAAACAACCAUACUAUUAGCAGAUAUUUAACCAACCUUUACUAUUAGAGGAUAAUAUUUGAAUAUUUCCAAAAAAUAUAUUAAAGGACUGGCGGUGCCUGUAAAGAAGGCUCGAGCAAAUUAUUGUAUCCUACUCAAGGCUUUGCCUUCCUUUUUUUUGCUUGUAAUAAAUGCUUUACUUUGGUAACUCACCAGCUUCUUUGGGAAAGAUCGGACUCUAAUUAUUAAGCUACCUGAGUACAAGCCCCAUCCCACGCACCAGCAAGCUUCAUACCGCAAGGCUCAAGUCAUCUAAGCACGGGAAUCAAAACGACUCCCGGCGCUUCCAAGAAAAGGUGAAACCAGACACCAGCUCCAAGAAACGGAGCAUCCUCCUAAAUCGAGGCAGACUUUCCCUUGUUAAAAGUCGCAAAAGCUCAGAUCAGAAGAUGAGCCACGCUCCUUUUUCGGCUCCCUACAAAGACCAACCUUAAGACUUCCUAACUGUGCGCCCGAACUCACCUCUUGAUUCCACGUUGCUGCAGUACCUUGUAGCCAAAGAGCCAACUCUGUCGGAACGUUCAGCUGGACGCGCCCGGCUGCCGAAGUUCUGGAGGAGGGAUCCUCUCCAAAUUCCUCUUCUCCGGAGGAAUCUCCGAUAGGGAAAGCGCGAGCUCCAAAGAGCAGCAGGAGGGCAGCAGCAGCCCAGGAACAGCCUGGUGAAAGAGACAGAAAAGAGGAAAUGCAGUGAGCAGGUCUUUUUCGGCUAAGUUAUAGACGCUCCCUUGUCCAAUUUGUUUUAAACUUACAUCCCGAUAGUGCAAGCAUUAUCUUUAGAAUUUAGAUCUUUUUUCUUUUUCUUUUUGCAAUAUGCAAGAAGCUUUGUAGUCUGCGUGGCUGAAGGGCUGAAUGAGUGAUGCCACAUUUCGAACCUACUGUAUUUAUUGAAAGGCUCUGGGAAAAUCCAUGGUUAGUUAACGUAGAGCAGGUUUUUUUUAGUUUUUUUUAAUACUACAUCGCAGAGGAAGGAAACAGGAAUACAGCAAAAGCUCGUAAAUCGGAAUUCUGUGGGCUUAAUUUAUGAGAUAAUUUUUAAAAAACCAUAGACAUCCAUGUUUUUUUAUUUGACAGAAAGGCCAAGCUGUUGGGAUAAUAUGGGAAAAUUAUUUAAAAAUCAAGUUUAUUUUAAUAAAUUUUGAUCUGUAGUCAUGCAAUCUAUAGUAAGCCUCAUGGGAAGUGCAGGGAGUUACUUUUAAAGAGACUUAGAGUGUUGUUUAAAGUAGCUGAUGAUUUUACAUGGGACAGAGUAAUUUUAUUUUCCCCCCAAAUAAAAUAUAAUUAAAAACCAAAGAAGGUAUAAUGAAUACAGUUUGUUUAGUUUCAUGAACCCAGACAAUUGUGAUUUAUACUUGAAUUUAAAGAAUCAACUUCAUGAGUGAAUAGAAUCUUUCGCUAAGUCAGGGUUGGUUUUAAGAUUAGUGUUAAUGGGGCAGGGAAAUAGUUUAGCCCUGUGAUUCAAUGAAAUCCACAAGAGUGUUUUGAAUUUCUCUGUUCAGUUAGUGGCUGGCAUUAAUUACUUUAGGUUAAAAAAGUGUUUUGCAAUUGAAAAUAUUACAUUAUGAACAAAAUCUCUCUAAAUUUUGAGCACCUUAUCCCAUUUAAAUCUGUACAUCACACUAAAUGAUAUUAUAAAGUAAUUUAUUUGAUUUGGCUUAGCACAGGGGUGUCAAACUCGUGUCAUCAUGGUGUUGUCACUUGAUGUAUUGUGACUUUUCCCCCUUUGCUAAACUGGGCAUGGGCAUGGCCAGUGCGUGAUACAUCUGGCCUGUGAGUUUGACAGCCCUGGCUUAGCAUCUUAUAUGGAUCCAGAUCAUUUGUGGAUUGUGAAUUAUAGUAUAAGCAUUAUGUGUUAAUCAGACUUGUUUAAUGAACUAUAGUCAGUUUAUCAUUCAGCCCAAUAUACACUGGUAACAAUGAAAAUAGUUCAUGGAUAAAUUAUUGUAUUUUGUUUUUGGUAUUCAUCUCAACUUAUUUAUUUUGUGGGGUUUUUUUCUUUUUAUGUUGUACACCACUCAAUAUCUUUUGGGAUUAGGCUAAGUUAUAACUACAAUAAAAUAAAAUAAAAUUAAUCAUCCAUUA